rnacentral:rRNA from 1 species
AGGAUGAACGCUGGCGCGUGCCUAAUACAUGCAAGUCGAGCGGCAGCGCGGUCUUCGGACUGGCGGCGAGCGGCGGACGGCUGAGUAACACGUAGGAACGUACCCCAAAGUGAGGCAUAAGCACCAGAAAUGGUGUCUAAUACCACAUGUGCUCUAAGGAGUAAAGCUUCGGUGCUUUGGGAACGGCCUGCGCAUGAUUAGCUUGUUGGUGAGGUAAUGGCUCACCAAGGCGACGAUCGGUAGCUGGUCUGAGAGGAUGAUCAGCCACACUGGGAUUGAGAACGGCCCAGACUCCUACGGGGGGCAGCAGUGAGGAAUUUUCGUCAAUGGGGAAACCCUGAACGAGCAACGCCGCGUGCAGGAAGACACUUUUCGGAGCGUAAACUGCUUUUCUCGGGGACGAGUAAGGACGGUACCCGAGGAAUCAGCCCCGGCUAACUACGUGCCAGCAGCCGC